rnacentral:lncRNA from 1 species
AAAGAUCGUUCCUUGAUCUACGAUUCAACUAUGGAUUUAUGUUAUUUCUCCGUUCAAUUUGUUAUCGUUCCUGUUCAGAUUUGUUGUAGUAGCCUUUUUUCUAUGGAGUUCGGGUGAAAAUCGCUUUUGGUUCUAUAGAUCUGUUGAGGUAUGCUAUAGAUCCGAUUUAUUUCGAUGAUUUUCUGUUUUGGUUGGCCUUUUUUUCUCUGAAUUUAUGGAUUUACUGUAUCUUCGUUCUUUUCUCUAAUUUCUUUUUAAAAUAUGUAGGCUGUUCUUUUGAUAUGUUGAAUGAGACCUAAGUUGUAGAUGGAUGUAUAAUCUUUUGAUAUGUUGAAGGUAUUUUUAUGAUUUUUUUGGGUUUUGGUUAUGCGUUUAUAUAUUAUAUACAGUUCCUUGACUCUUAUUUAUAUUUGCAGAUCCGUGAAUUAUAUAUCAUCAAUUUCCGUCUGAUGCUGAUGAAGCUAUGACUUUCGUCUUGGUUUACCUUAUUUCGUUGGGAUCUGUGAGUUUCUCAUGAAAGAUUAUCAUGUAUCCAAUUGUUUGAAGAUCGAUGUUCGGCGGUGAAGAUAAUUGAGUGGGUACUUAAAUUGUUAUAUUACUAUUAUGAUUAUGUCAGUACUUCAAUAUUUGUAGCUGUGAGAAAAGAGAGGAGUAAUAUCAGAAAUGUCAUAAUUUGUGCCUAUCAGGCCUUUGCCAUGUCAGGUGAGCUUGCAUGGCAGGUCAAAACAACCUAAUAAAAAAUAUUCUUUGUGUUUUGGAGGGGAGAUGGUACGGGGAUUUGUGCCCGGCUCUCCCUUCUUCCUGCGUCUCUCUUUCAUUUUCUUUCCUUGCAUCGCAACUAAAUCUUCAGAAGUUUACUUCAAUAUCAACAUAUGCGUCUUUGAAUUUUGGAUGGCUUUAGAUAUCUCUAAUAUCUUAAAAGCCAUUCAAGNNNNN